GGGACAGAGCCUGGCUUUGUGCGGGAGGCAGACGCGCCCCGCGCGCCGCCCCCGAAACAUUCGCACCCCAUGCUGAGGCGCGCGUCUGGGAGUCCGUGGGCGCCCCGAGCGACGUCGAUGGCGCCAGGUGCCAAGCUCUUUCCUUGUAUAAUUUCAUGGACACUCACGCAUCAACUCUAAGCGAAGACUUGGAGCGGGGCUCAGCACCCCAGGGGUACCUCUGCAACCUCGAAAUGAAGUUGAAAAUAGCACAGGAGCCCACUAUCACUGUGUGAACAUUUUGUGAAUGAAGACAUGUAUGAAAGGAUGUUUGGAGGCUUCAAGAAACGAAAGCCGAGAGUCUAGCUAGACCAGAGCCAUCCAGCCCAGGAGCGAUGGCCACGUGUGGCCGCUGGACACGAGAGACGUGGCCAGUCCAAACUGUGCAGUGCGGGGCAGUGGAAGCCGUUGGAGGGCCUCAGGCAGGAACACAAGGUGUCGUGGCAGAAAGGAAGAAGGGGCCGGGCACGGUGGCCCACACCCGUCAUCCCAGCACUUUGGGAGGGAGGCCAAGGCAGGAGGAUCGCUUCAAUCCAGGAGUUCAAGAUCAGCCUGGGCAACACAGCAAGACCCCGUCUCUACUAAAACCCUAAAACUUAGCCAGGCUUGGUGGCAUGUGCCUAAGGUCCCAGGUCCUCGGGAGACUAAGGCAGGAGGAUUGCUUAAGCCCAAGAGUUUGAGGCUGCAGUGAACUAUUAUCACACCACUGCACUCAGCCUGGGUGACAGAGUGACUCUGUCUCAAAACUAAAUAAAUAAACAAUAAUUGUGUUAUUCUGUCUCCA
rnacentral:lncRNA from 1 species